rnacentral:rRNA from 1 species
GUUGAAGGAUUUGGAAAAUUCCGCUAAAGAGGGUGAAAGCCCCGUAGACGAAAUGCUGACAACACCUAGGAGGAUCCUGAGUACGGCGGAACACGAGAAAUUCCGUCGGAAUCCGCGGGGACCAUCCCGCAAGGCUAAAUACUCCCUAGUGACCGAUAGUGAACCAGUACCGUGAGGGAAAGGUGAAAAGCACCCCGGAAGGGGAGUGAAAUAGAUCCUGAAACCGUGUGCCUACAACAAGUCAAAGCUCGUUAAUGAGUGAUGGCGUGCCUUUUGUAGAAUGAACCGGCGAGUUACGAUUGCAUGCGAGGUUAAGUCGAAGAGACGGAGCCGCAGCGAAAGCGAGUCUGAAUAGGGCGAAUGAGUAUGUAGUCGUAGACCCGAAACCAUGUGAUCUACCCAUGUCCAGGUUGAAGGUGCGGUAAAACGCACUGGAGGACCGAACCCACGUACGUUGAAAAGUGCGGGGAUGAGGUGUGGGUAGCGGAGAAAUUCCAAACGAACUUGGAGAUAGCUGGUUCUCUCCGAAAUAGCUUUAGGGCUAGCCUCGGAAUUGAGAAUGAUGGAGGUAGAGCACUGUUUGGACUAGGGGCCCAUCUCGGGUUACCGAAUUCAGAUAAACUCCGAAUGCCAUUCAUUUAUAUCCGGGAGUCAGACUGCGAGUGAUAAGAUCCGUAGUCGAAAGGGAAACAGCCCAGACCACCAGCUAAGGUCCCAAAAUAUAUGUUAAGUGGAAAAGGAUGUGGGGUUGCACAGACAACUAGGAUGUUGGCUUAGAAGCAGCCACCAUUUAAAGAGUGCGUAAUAGCUCACUAGUCGAGUGACCCUGCGCCGAAAAUGUACCGGGGCUAAACAUAUUACCG